rnacentral:rRNA from 1 species
GAUCCUGGCUCAGAACGAACGCUGGCGGCGCGUUUAAGCAUGCAAGUCGAGCGGCAAGGGCCUUCGGGCCCUAGAGCGGCGGACGGGUGAGUAACACGUGGACAAUCUGCCCCCCGGCCCGGGAUAGCCCAGGGAAACCUGGAUUAAUACCGGAUGAGACGGGACCCGCGAUGGCGGGAUCCGGGAAAGGCGCUGCGGCGCCGCCGGGGGAUGAGUCUGCGUCCCAUUAGCUAGACGGCGGGGUAACGGCCCACCGUGGCGACGAUGGGUAGCCGGCCUGAGAGGGUGGACGGCCACAUUGGAACUGAGACACGGUCCAGACUCCUACGGGAGGCAGCAGCUAAGAAUCUUCCGCAAUGGGCGAAAGCCUGACGGAGCCGACGCCGCGUGAACGAAGAAGGCCGUGAGGUUGUAAAGUUCUUUUCGGGAGGGGAACAACCGUGGCAGGGAAUGGCCGCGGGAUGACGUGAAUCCCGGAAUAAGCCCCGGCUAACUACGUGCCAGCCGCAGC